UAAGGCUGAGGUAGUAGAUUGAAUAGUUGUGGGGUUUGGUCCUCCCUCUGAGAUAACUAUACAGUCUACUGUCUUUCCUAA
rfam:Tetraodon nigroviridis, WGS project CAAE01000000 data, contig: CNS0BZ4F, chromosome: 11